rnacentral:rRNA from 1 species
AGAGUUUGAUCAUGGCUCAGAACGAACGCUGGCGGCGCGCCUAAUACAUGCAAGUCGAGCGAGAAGACGUAGCAAUACGUUUGUAAAGCGGCGAACGGGUGAGGAAUACAUGGGUAACCUACCCUCGAGUGGGGAAUAACUAGCCGAAAGGUUAGCUAAUACCGCGUACGCUCCUUGGACUUCGGUUCAGGGAGGAAAGCGAUACCGUGGGUAUCGCGCUCUUGGAUGGGCUCAUGUCCUAUCAGCUUGUUGGUGAGGUAACGGCUCACCAAGGCUUCGACGGGUAGCUGGUCUGAGAGGACGAUCAGCCACACUGGCACUGCGACACGGGCCAGACUCCUACGGGAGGCAGCAGUAAGGAAUAUUGCGCAAUGGGCGAAAGCCUGACGCAGCGACGCCGCGUGGGGGAUGAAGGUCUUCGGAUUGUAAACCCCUUUCGGGAGGGAAGAUGGAACGAGCAAUCGUUCGGACGGUACCUCCAGAAGCAGCCACGGCUAACUUCGUGCCAGCAGCCGCGGUAAUACGAAGGUGGCAAGCGUUGUUCGGAUUUACUGGGCGUACAGGGAGCGUAGGCGGUUCGGUAAGCCCUUUGUGAAAUCUCCAGGCUUAACCUGGAACAGUCGGAGGGGACUGCUGAGCUAGAGGACGGGAGAGGAGCGCGGAAUUCCCGGUGUAGCGGUGAAAUGCGUAGAGAUCGGGAGGAAGGCCGGUGGCGAAAGCGGCGCUCUGGAACGUUUCUGACGCUGAGGCUCGAAAGCGUGGGGAGCAAACAGGAUUAGAUACCCUGGUAGUCCACGCCUUAAACUAUGAAUACUAAGUGUCGGCGGGUUACCGCCGGUGCCGCAGCUAACGCAUUAAGUAUUCCGCCUGGGAAGUACGGCCGCAAGUUGAAACUCAAAGGAAUUGACGG